GACAAAAUGGGGCACUAUUCGACUUGGGCCCCUAUGUAAUUGCACAGUGUCUGCAUCUAAAGCAGCUCCGCCAUUGUCAGGUCCUUUCCAGGAAAAUUUUAACCGUUCUAAAAUAAUCGGUUAAUCGAAUUUCUGGCCACCCUAUAUAUAUAUAUUUCAUACAUUAACUCUUUUCACUGAACAAUUUUUCUUUACAAAAUGACGGUUGAAAAAUGUGAACUUGGGCACAUAAAUCCUCAUAAAAUUCGACUGGAUCCAUCUCAAUAUUUGGAACUAACCCAAAAGUAGAAGGCCAGCUCUGUUUAUGAGGUAAAAUGACAUUUGAUAUACAUGAUAUGGCUUUUCUUUUUUAUAGUACAGCAAUCGAGUUUUUAUGGCUACACCAGCAUGCUGCCAUCACGUUAUACGCAAUCUGUAAUGACAGGAGAAAGUGCCGCGGGUUUAUUGAUAUCAACCAAUAGAAUAUUAACCAAAGCGCUUCUUGACGAUGAGAAG